rnacentral:rRNA from 1 species
AGUGAACGCUGGCGGUAGGCCUAACACAUGCAAGUCGAACGGCAGCACAGUAAGAGCUUGCUCUUACGGGUGGCGAGUGGCGGACGGGUGAGGAAUACAUCGGAAUCUACUUUUUCGUGGGGGAUAACGUAGGGAAACUUACGCUAAUACCGCAUACGACCUACGGGUGAAAGCAGGGGAUCUUCGGACCUUGCGCGAUUGAAUGAGCCGAUGUCGGAUUAGCUAGUUGGCGGGGUAAAGGCCCACCAAGGCGACGAUCCGUAGCUGGCCUGAGAGGAUGAUCAGCCACACUGGAACUGAGACACGGUCCAGACUCCUACGGGAGGCAGCAGUGGGGAAUAUUGGACAAUGGGCGCAAGCCUGAUCCAGCCAUACCGCGUGGGUGAAGAGGGCCUUCGGGUUGUAAAGCCCUUUUGUUGGGAAAGAAAAGCAGCAGGUUAAUACCCCGCUGUUCUGACGGUACCCAAAGAAUAAGCACCGGCUAACUUCGUG